rnacentral:rRNA from 1 species
AUGAUUUUGCCGUUAGCUUGCUAUGCAGAUAGGUCGUACUAUGGCCCUCCGGAUUUCUUGUGCCAAUACUGUGGUGCCUCCUUUUGGUUUGCUGAGUGUUCAAAGUCCAGGUCAUCCUGGACACAACGUAAGAUGGUUUCGCUGUGUAAAGGCGCUAAGGUAUAUAUUCCUCCCUUUAAGGAUCCCCCAGCCUAUCUUCGGAAGCUCCUUCGAUUCGAUGGUACUUCUCGUGCUAAAAAAUUCAUCCGGACUAUACGUGAGUACAACUGUAUGUUCGCUUUCACUUCGAUGGGUGCUACUAUUGAACGCUCGUUUGGUAGCAGCCGUGGACCUAAGAUUUUUAAGAUCAGUGGUCAAGUGUCUCAUUGUAUUGGUUCGUUGGUGCCUAGCGGUGAUGAUACCCCUAAGUUUGCUGAGUUGUAUAUACAUGACCCAGCUAAUGAGAUUAGACAUGGGAUGAAUGCCUUAAAUCCAGAUGAUAAGCCUACUGGGGGUGUGGAUGAGAGUAUUGUGGUUGGUCUUAGAGACAUGCUUAAUGAGUUUAACCUAUUGGUACAGACCUUUCGGGAGGCGAAGGAUCGUGGUGAUGAACCCAUCGAGGAUAUCUCGAUUCGUAUUAUUGGACCUUCUGAGGGCGAUAGUCCACAAUUUAGUUUGCCUACAACCACUGGGCUUGUUGCUUUAGUUGUCAGUGGCGGCUUCACGUUAGAGGCAUCUUCUCGUGAUAUUGUUGUUUGCAGUCGUUCCGACGGUUUGCAGCAGAUAUCUUCUCUAAACACUGCAUUCAUGCCUCUGCAAUACCCGUUGCUUUUCCCUUAUGGAGAGAGAGGGUUCCAGGUGGAUGUUCCUCACUUGGGUGGUGAUGCUUCCACAAAUAGUCGGAAUAGGAUGACCAUGCAGGAUUACUAUCAUUUUAUGUGCCAUUACAAGGGUGAUCAGCCCAAUCCAUAUAUAUGUUAUGGUCUCCUCUCUUCUCAGUCGGUUGUUGAUGCACGCGCGUGCAUCGAUGAAAGUAGAUUGUGGUAUAUCAUAAGAAAUCAGGACAUGCUUAGAUCAGAGCACAUGCAGGGUAUUACUGAUGCGGUAGGUGAUGGGUGUGUUGAUGGUGAUGCUCUUGGGAAGAGGACCAUUGUACCUUCCAGUCACAUAGGCGGUCGUCGUUACUUCCAUGAAAAUUUUCAUGAUGGCCUUGCCGUUUGUCGGGUGCACAGUGCGCCUGACAUAUUUACCACUUUCACUUGCAAUGCCAAGUGGCCUGAGAUCACCAGUGCAUUGGAACCAGGUCAGACGCCUUCUGAUAGGGCGGAUAUUGUUGUUAGGGUCUAUCACAUGAAACUCACCGAGUACUUGGACGAGAUUAAGUCAGACCGGGCUUUUGGCCCCAUGUUGUAUACCGUUGAGUUCCAGAAGCGGGGACUGCCUCACGCGCAUAUACUUGUCUGGCGGAGAGGGGGUAACGGUGAGAUUGGUGUUGAAAAUAUUAAUUCAUCAAUAUCUGCUAAAAUACCUGAUGCAUUGCUUGAUCCUCUAGGAUAUGCUUUAGUUUCUGAGUUUAUGAUGCACGGUCCGUGUGGUGAAAUGAACGAUAAAUGUGUCUGCAUGAAAAAUGGUGUUUGUUCUAAAUAUUUCCCAAAAGAUUUUAGAGAUACCAUUGUCAUUGAUGAUAAUGGGUUUGCCUUAUAUCGACGUCGUGACGAUGGUCGAAGGGUCUAUAAAAAUGGCCAUUACCUUGACAAUAGGCAUGUUGUUCCUUAUAAUAUGGCGAUGCUCAAGAAAUUUCAGGGACAUAUAAAUGUAGAGUGGUGUAAUAAGACACAGGUGAUGAAAUAUCUCUUUAAGUAUGUCACCAAAGGUGCUGACUACUCUAAGGUCAUGUUAGAAAGGCCAAAAAAUGACUAA